ACGGAGGAUGCGAGCGUUAUCCGGAUUUAUUGGGCUUAAAGGGUGCGUAGGCGGACAGAUAAGUCAGAGGUGAAAACCUGGCGUUUAACUGUAGACUUGCUGUUGAUACUGUCAGUCUUGAGUAUGGUCAAGGUAGGCGGAAUGUGUAAUGUAGCGGUGAAAUGCUUAGAGAUUGCACAGAACACCGGUUGCGAAGGCGACUUACUGGGCAAUUACUGACGCUGAUGCACGAAAGCGUGGGGAGCAUACAG
rnacentral:rRNA from 1 species